UAAUUUGAGAGUUUGAUCCUGGCUCAGGAUGAACGCUGGCGGCGUGCUUAACACAUGCAAGUCGAACGAAGCAACUAUCUUGCUUGCAAGAGAGUUGGCUUAGUGGCGGACGGGUGAGUAACGCGUGGGUAACCUGCCUCAUACAGGGGGAUAACAGUUGGAAACGACUGCUAAGACCGCAUAACCCGCUAGUGUCGCAUGACACGGACGGAAAAUAUUUAUAGGUAUGAGAUGGGCCCGCGUCUGAUUAGCUAGUUGGUAAGGUAACGGCUUACCAAGGCGACGAUCAGU
rfam:Anaerosporobacter mobilis DSM 15930 genome assembly, contig: EJ17DRAFT_scaffold00006.6